UGGGGAAUUCUCAGAUUUCGUGGAUUUUAGUAUCGGCAGUGGAGCUUCUCUUCUUAACAUUGUUAAUCCUGCAUUUGAUUAUGUGCCACCGGAGCUAGUCAGCCUUUUUGUUACUGAAAUAGGGGGGCACAAUCCAUCAUAUAUCUAUAGGCUCAUUUCAGAUUUUUACUGUGCUGAUGAUUUGCCUCGACAACAAAAAUCGGCUUCUUGAAUUGAAUUCUCUAAUUCCAUGCAGUCGAGAUAUAUUUCCUUUUUAUUAUGUAUGUUCGAGAUACUAGUAUUCUUUUCGGCAUUCUGAUUUUGUCUUACAUUGUAUUUCAUCCCCUAUUAUUAGUUCUUGAUAUUUUUCU